GGCAGUGUGGUGUAGUGGUUUGAGCAUUGGACUACAGACUCUGGAGAUCAGGGUUUGAUGCCCUGCUUGGCCA
rnacentral:tRNA from 1 species